rnacentral:rRNA from 1 species
UACGUAGGGUGCGAGCGUUAAUCGGAAUUACUGGGCGUAAAGCGUGCGCAGGCGGUUUUGUAAGCCAGAUGUGAAAUCCCCGGGCUCAACCUGGGAAUGGCAUUUGGGACUGCAAGGCUGGAGUGUGGCAGAGGAGACUGGAAUUCCUGGUGUAGCAGUGAAAUGCGUAGAUAUCAGGAGGAAUACCGAUGGCGAAGGCAGGUCUCUGGGCUGACACUGACGCCCAUGCACGAAAGCGUGGGGAGCAAACAGG